UUUGAUUCAGUAGCUUGUUGAAGCACCUUUUGCAGCAGUAGCUUGAAGUAAUCAUUUUCUGUAUUACUUUAUCACAGCAAACUGCUAAAACUUUGGCUUUUAUAGAGGUGGUCACACUUGCUGGUAAUCAAUUCAUCAAGGACAUUUGAUUAGCAGCACCUGUCUGCUACUUAGUUUCUUAAUUCCUAUGGAAACAGUGUACUUAGUUUUUCACAUAUGGCUUCUCCAUUUUGGCUUUAUUUUUGUUGAAUAAAUCACGACAUUGUGUAAUAUGUAAUGUGUUGUUGUUCAUCUGAGGUUUUACUUAAUUUUUAGACCUGCUAAGGAACAGAUGUCAGUAGAUUUGUCCAGUGACAGCUGCAAAAUGUGUAAAGGUAUGAAAAAUUAGCCACUCUACUGUAGAUAGUGCUGACCCGUAAAAAAAAAAAAAAAAACACUGAAAAAUCACAAAAGAAAAAAGUACCAUAUAAAGCAACAAACCUUUUUAUUUAUUGAAAAAUGUCCAAACAGUACAAGAAAAAGGUUUGGACUGUUAGAGAGGAUGUAUUAUUUGGCAAAUUCAGGUUGUAGUACAUGAGUGUAUCUUCUCUGCUUGACAUUAGCUCUGCAUCAGUAGAAAACUGAAGUCUUGUCCAGGUUCAUGUUCAGAUGGAGGUUUCCCUCUAAA